rnacentral:lncRNA from 1 species
GGAGCAGCCUGAUUCACUCCACUGAAUCACAAUCCACAUUGAUGAUGGGCUAGUUGUUUGUUGAUUGCUGACUAUAUACUCUUUGUUUGCAUGUGCUGGAUUUGAUUGUCACACCUCACCUUUCCAUUUUUCUUUUUGCCUUUUUCAAAAAACUAAACAUUAUUUAAUUUAAUAGUAGUAGCAAUAAUAGGUGAUUGACAUCACUUAUAUACUGUGGCGGAUUCAGAAUUUAAAUGUUGUGGGUGUUCAACGGGUUGGAAUACAUAUAUUGAGGUUUGAAGUUUUAAGAUUUCGCAUGAAAAUUAAAGAUUCAACUAUCUUUUUAAUUUUGAGGCUACUUUUUCAUUUUACAUCAAUUUUUAUAUCUAUUUCGCAUCAAAUUUAUCGGGUGUUAGAACACCAUCAAUCUAAACCUAGCCUCGCCCCUGCUUUUAUACCAUGCAUAUAGAGUAAAUUAUUCCGAGAUUAUAAUUUUGGGGUUAUUGUUUCUAGAUUAGUUUAUAUCAUACGGGUGGUGGUAUAAAAUAAUUUCAUAUUGAAUGGGAUAAGAUGAGAUACGUUAAGAGUAGGUUUGGAUUAAAUUUACAUCAUGUUUGGUUGAUGGUAUCUCGUGUUUCAGGUAUCUCUUGCUUAUCGAAACACAAACACUUCCGUCUUAUCAAGACUACAGAAUGUUCGUGUGAAUUGUCGAUAAUAUCGGGUAUAUGAAAGAAAUCAUCGACUCUCUAUGUUCUAUAUUAGUUGUUAUAUUUCGCUUCUCGCGAGUCAAAUUAUAUAAAUUUUGACCAAUAUUUUAAAUAUAUAUGAGAAAAUUUGCAAUUUGUAGUACUUUUUCAUAUUAUUUUUGAAUAUUUAAAUUUUAAUUAUAAAAUCUUAAAUUGAUAUAAUUCAAUUUAAUUUUGAAAAUUAAUCAAAUUGACUUUCAAAAGAAUAAACAUGACGUUAAUAAUAAGGGAUUGAGAAAAUAGUAUAUUUUUCUUUUGUUAGAAAUUAGAAUUUGAAUUUGAGAAGUUAUGAUUUUCUAAUACUUCAUUAACUACUAUAUGACACUCGUAAGUGUAAUUAUAACAAAAUUUAUUGCUAAUUCUAUUUAAGAACGAAUUGAUUAUGGAUUAUAAAAAGUAAUUUAGUAACAAAUUAAUAACGAAUUUUGUAAUUAAUUUUUAUUAUUUUUUAUUUGAGUAGGAAGUGGUUUAGUUUGGUUAAUGCAAUAAUGGAAUAUGUAUGAACACCCCACAUGGUAGGUAUGCUUAACCACAUGUUAUUUGUUCACUAAUUUCUUUCUUAAGCAUAUUAAUUAUAUCAUGGCCCUUAAUCAUAAAAUUAUUUAACUAAUUAUAUAUGAGAAAAUAUCCUAUAAUUAAUUAAAGUUUAAAUCAAAUAAUAUGAUUCUACAAAGAUUUUCUAUAUUUUAUUUAGGGGAAAAGGUUCGAAAUAUAUCUAAACUUUGACAAAAUUUGUUAUAACACGUCUCAACUUUGCAGAGUUCCUAUGACCUCCUCGACUAUUUAUUACUGUAUUUCUAUGGUAUAUAUUUGUCCAACUGGACCACUGCGUGAAUACACGCGCAGUGGUGCGUAAGAAUCUGAAGUGAUCCAGCUAAACAAAUAUAUGCCGCCGAAAUACAGUAAUAAAUAGUCGAGGGGGCAUAGAAUCCCCGUAAAAUCGAUGCGUGUUACAGCAACUUUCGCGAAACAUAUUAGGGCAAUGAGACGUGGUUAGGGUGCUAGUGGUGGAGACAUGAUGGUUGAUUAGCGUAACGAACAGAUACGAUCAACAUAAAAUGUUACUUAUGAAAUUUAUUUUUUCAUCGACUAAAAAUAUUUUUUUAAAAAAAAAACACAUAAAUUAUUUUCCUCCUAAAAAAAUUCCAAAAAUGUCAUCCCUAUCUCCUACCUCCAACACCAAGAAUAUUUUAAUAAUUUUAAUUGGUUUUAAUUUAGAUGUGAUAUGUGACCAUAUAUUAGAGUUCCAAUAUUAGACUUUUCCAUAUAUGAUAAUAACCCUAGAGAAAUGAUAAUGACAUUUGGGCCCCAUUAUUUAGUCAUUCAAACACUUGGAACAUCCAAAUUAACUAGCCCCCUACAUUAUACAAAAUUCUAGAAUUUUGAUCAUUAAAUCAAUAUAAAAUUUGCAGGGAUAGAUAGGGACAUCAAUUAUAAAUUUAUAAUCAGUGACGAAAUCAAAAUUUUUAAAAAAAAAAAAUACUAAAAUGGGAAAAUAGUAUACCUGUGAGAAAAUAAGUUCGCGGGAGGGGUAGUCGUUGGCAAUUUCUUAAAAAUAAGAGAAAAUAAGUUUGGAUAAUCAGCCAUAUUUUUUCUCAACUAAACUCAUCGAAUCGGCUUAUCUAUAUAAUUUAUAUUUUUUGUGUGAUUUUCGAAUUAUUUUAUAUGAAUAUUUUUUAAAAAUGCGCACCUAAAAAAUAACGACUAUGAUUUUCUCAAGAUUUAAAGAUUCCAAAAAGAAAAAGAAAAAUAAAAAAUCAACCAAACUUUGUUAGUUAUACACAUCGUUAUCUUAUUGCUAAAGAAAGAUGGUAUAACAUUAUAAAAGGUCAAUUAAAUAACGUGGUGGUUAAUGACUCUUUUUGUAUAACAAUAAUAAUUAUUUAGUAUCCUAUGUUUAUGUUUAGUGUAAUUUGAUUUAUUUAAAUUUAUGUCACGUAAAAUUUAUCAACAAAAAGUUUUUUCGAUUAAGAAUUUUUUUAUUUAUGACUCAAAUUCGAAAUCUCUCGUUAAAUGUCAAAUUAAAAUAUCAUAUUCAAACUGAAAUAUCAAUCUUUUAGGGUUUGUUACUUGAUAUUCGGGUAUCUGCUUCAAGGUUCGACUAAUUUAAAUUUGUGUCGAGAAGUCCUAUAUUAAAGGCGAUUUUAUACCUAAAGUUUGAACUCGAAAUCUCUGAUUAAGAAUGGAAGAGUACUUACUACUCCGGCGCAAUCUUUGAUGGACAAAUUAAACUAUUUUAAUACCUACUUUGAAUUUAAUAUAAAUCAUAGGGAUGAAAGUUACCAAAUAUAUUUAAAGAAUCAAACAAAUAAAUUUAUACUAUCAAAGAUUUUUGAAUUUUUUUUUUUUAAAAAAGAGAAAUACAUAAAAUAUUUUAAAUAAGUUGUUGGAAUCUUUUUCUUUCCCCCCUUUGGGUUGGCAAUAUGUACUUUAUAUUGGUGUAUUCAACUCUUUUACUAAAUUCUUUGACUUGUAGUUUAUUAUAAAAAUUAUUUUAAUUAUAAUUUAUUCUUAAUAUAUCAGUAAGAAAAUAACAGCAACGAUAACUUAUAGUAUAAUCUCAUAAAUAAAAUUUGACAAAAAUAAAACGUAUGUAGAUAUUAUGUAGACCCUCGAUUCAAAAAGAAUAUUAAUCGAAGCAAAGCAGGAAAAUAUAAAUAUCUAAAAGCAAGAUACAAAGCAAAUAUAAAUUUCGGUAAAAGAUAAAUAUUGAAAUUAAAUAAAUAAAAUGUUUAUUAUUAAAUUAUUUUUCUUAUAUUUGGUUCAACUUGCAUGUGUAAUAUUUGACUAACACAUUUAAUUCCUUUCUGUCGGUGCAUCUAAUACAAUUUUUCUUUUUCUUAUUUAUUUUUUUGCUUUGUCAACCCUAGCUAAAUGAUUGAUACUACAAAAUAAAUUAGUCUAUCGUUAAAUUGCUCGUUCCUAAUAAAUUAUUAUAAGAAUUCAUCGUUAAAUAAAAUUAACAGUUUUUUUUAUUAUUUAGCUAUAAAAUUUAUUUAUUACAAAAACUUGUUUUUACAUGAUAACCAAAAGAAUUGUAAUUUAUAUUAAAUUAUGCACCUAAUACUUUUGAAUUAAAAGAAAAACACAUAAGUUGUCAUAUGACAGGUGGACAAUGAAAAAGAAAUUCUUAUCAAACUAAAAAAUAAAAAAAAUAAAAACAAAUAAAAGACCUAUAUGUUGAUGCAUGUCAACAAUGUUUAUAUUAAACUAGGAUCAGAUUCUCCAUGAGAUUUAUAAUUGCAUUAUUAAUUGUAGUUUUUUUGUUCGUAGACAAAGCAAAUUCGAUAUUAUCUUUGAUUUCAAGACAUAACGUUGAUUCAUGUACUUCAUAUUCACGAGUUGCGAUAAUCUUAUUUUCUUAAUAUAUAUUUACAAUUUUUUGUACACCUUUAAUUUUGAUUAUAACGAAAGAACAAAUUGUAUAUUACCACAAAGUGAAAUUUGAGGAAAGUAGAGUAAGUGCACGCAGUCUGUAUAGGGAGACAGCGGCGGAACCAGAAUUUUGCAUUAAUAGGGUUCAAAAAUAACAUACGAUCUAGUCAAAGGGGGUUCAACAUCUACUAUAUCUACAUAAAAAAAUAUUUAUAAUCAUAUAGAAAUAGUAUAAUUUUUCAUCGAAGAAGGUUUAACAUCUACUUUAUAUACAGAAAAAAUAUUUUUAAUCAUGUAAAAAUAGUAUAAUUUUUUGUCGAAUGGAAUUCGAUGAAACCUCUAGAUGAAAAGUGGCUCCGCCCUUGUAGAGAGAUUGUUUUCAAUAGACCUCCAGCUCGUGUUAAAAAGAGUCUAAAGAAGGCGUAAUAGAAGUACAAAAAACAGCUCGUGUUAAAAAGAGUCUAAAGAAGGCGUAAUAGAAGUACAAAAAACAGCUCGUGUUAAAAAGAGUCUAAAGAAGGCGUAAUAGAAGUACAAAAAACAAUAGAUAGUAACAAAACAAGAAUAUCACAAAAUAAUACUACAAUCAAUUUACCCGAAAAAAAAAAAAAAUAUCACCAAAGCUUUAACAAUAAGAAACUACAAUUAUAACACUACCAUUAGUAGAGUCUUUUUUACACCUUUUGAUUCUUAAUUAAUUGAAACAUUAAAAAGUCACUAAAUCUACAAGUAAUCAGAAUUAAAAUGAUUGUGAUGGCCAAUAAAGUAAAAAGUGUUGGAGUAUUUCAUAAUUAAUUAAUAAUUGGUGUUGGAAAGGAUGGUAGGGAAAUUGGCCAAAUCUUUUUUCUUUUUGUCAACCAAAAUAUCUUUGCUUGGAAACUAAGGAAAUAUAAAUGAGGGAAACUAGAAUAAGAUACGAAGGUAAAAUUGGUAAAAAUAUUUUUUUUUAAAAUAAAUUAUAGAAAAUUGUUUUAUUAAAUGAUUUAUGACAUGUAUGGAAAGGUCAUCAUAUUGUAAUAUAUAUAUAUAUAAUGGUGCUGUUCGCAAAUAAGGUAAACGUGCGGAAUAAUUUGACAACAAUUAAUCAGUAUGAUAGCCAUCAUCAUAUUCAAAGGGCCAAUAAUCAUUAUCAUCAGAAUAUGACCAAUAGUCAUCUUCAUCUGAAUCUAUAUGAGAAUAAUCAUGGAUAGACCAUUGUUCUUAGACAAGUGGUUCUAUAAUCUUAUCAAGAAUUUUCUCAUGAAGAUCCUUGUUUAAAUUUAUCACUUUUAAAAUAGUGAUUAAAGUUUUUUCAUCUAGAAAACAAGUAUAGUAACUCAUUAUGCUGUAUAAAGAGUCAUUCGUUUUAAUUUAUUUUUAUACUUUUGUAAUCUAGAUAUCUGUAUUGAUUUUAGAUUAUGAUUUUCAUUUAGAGAGGCAUUUAUACGUACUCUAAUCCUAUUAAUUUCAGAAUUAUUUAAAUAAUUUUUUAAUCUAUAUAACCUAUUAAAAUAGUUUUUUAAACUUUUUAUAUUAUGAUUGUAAAACCUGAUUUUUAUUUUGGUUUCCCAAAAUCAAUUUCGAUAUUCCUUUAAUACUGGUCGUACAACCUUCAUAUUAAAAAGUAUACACUAUUCAUGAUUUUAAAAUUCCCUAUAGGUACUACGUAAUACAAUAUGUAUGAAUGCAUAAAGUAGAUAUGCAAACUAAUUUUUCCUAUGCUAAUAAGUUCACUAGACUAUAGAGUAUAUUCAUGUACCUUUCGUCUUUCCUUUACGUAGGUCGUAUCAACACCUCAGUGUUUCUCCUUCCGGCUAUGAAGAACUUCUUUAGCUAUUUUUGUCCUUUUGGCUAUUAUUUCGUUCCUCCUCCGUUUAGGCCGAUGAUCGCAACCAUCAUUUUUACCAACUUAAAAGAUUGACAAGGUAUAUAAAACAAACUUUUAUUCCAUGAACUUAUUACAACAUAAGAAAAAUCUUUAAUCAGAUCUUUCUUUAUACUCACAUACACACUAUUAUUACUUUUUCCUGGCGGGAGAAAGUGCUCACUCACUCAUUAAAGAAGAUACCUAACAAUUUUCUAAGAAAGAACAUAUUUCAGAGAAAAUGUAGUCUGUCUUCUAAGUUUUUCUCUCUCUUUUUAUAGAAGUAAGGAGGGGUAGAUUACAAUAUUUAUUUCUCGUAGGAUCGUCCCUAUAUAAUUUAAUAUUUCUCUUUCAAUCCCUAAUCGAGAUAAGAUUAAAAGAUAAGAUAAGAUUCUUUUAUCUUGUGAUUGGCUGAUUUUGGAUUGUGGGGUCCAACUUGUCCAAUCUUCUAUAUUUUAUUUUUGUCGUCUGAUGCCGACAAUGUUGACUUACAUGCUUUUUCUUUACAUCUCUUUCUGCUUUUGCUGAAUAGACUUUACAGUUGUAGAUUACAUCUCUUCAAAUAUUGAAGAGUCACCUUCUUCUUCAUUUCUUUUGAGAUGUGGAUGUUAUAAGAACUUACAGGCCAUAGCCCAUGUGUUUGGAGUGGCUAGAAAUUGAUGAGUUUCAAUUUCAAUUAUUUUGUCUCUUAAGACAACUGAUUUUGAUUUUCCUUUGAUCAUGAGAACCUAAUUCAUAUUUCUAUUCAGGACUUUAUAAUUUGUUGCGAACUUGUUUUUAAGGAUGUGAUAAACAACCUUCAUCCCUAAUGCUCGUUUGGUUUGAAUCCAUUUCUUGUUAAAAUAUGGAAUUUUCUUAUUAACACCUGUAGCGUUAAUACUAAAAUCUCUUAGUUUUUCCACUUCAACAUAAUUGACCGUGGGAAAAUAUACUUGAUCAUCUUGAGAUUCCAUAGUUAUGUUGUAGAAUCUGCAAUAAACGGCUUCAUUUCCGGUAAAACUCUUAAUUGAACUUGUCAGAUGCAUAGGUAGUCCUUCUAUCUCAGAUAGAUCAGGUUUAGAAUAAACUCUGUCAAGAUAGCCGAACUCUAAUAAUUUGGCUGUGAAAUCAGCCUCUCCUCCUGGGAAUAUGGAGAUUCUUGGAUAUAUGCUUUUGUUCUCAAGAACUCCAAAUGUUGUUCCACAUGAUUCAGGGAGGUCAUAAAUCAUUCUGCUGAAUGUCAAAUAUUCUUCUUCUUUUGGAUGAAUCUUGCCAACCUGAAAAGUAGAAAUAUUUUUUGCAGAUAAAAAGUUAGUCCUUUUUUCUGAUUUCUCAGAAGUUUUUUCAGUGGUUACUGAUUGUAUAAUUUCAGAGAAAGUCCUCUGAGUUGGUUCUUGGCGUUUGGCUUCUUUCGAGGAUUCAUCCAUUGGCAUAUCCGAGUUUACCUUUGAGAUGUUUUUGGCACUAGGUGCUAGUGGGACAUCUCUUGCCACUUUGUUAGGAAUUUUUUCCCUUGCACGGCAUUUAGCUUUGUUUAAAGACUCUGCUAUCAGCAUAUCCUGCUUUAACGUUGAGAUAUUUUAGGCACUAUGUGCUAGUGGGACAUCUCCUGCCACUUUGUUACCCUUAGGUUUUGUUUCUAAAUGUUCACAUAGAAGUUGAAAUUCUGCCAUGUUGUCAGCUUGUUCUGUGUUAAGCCGACCAAAUUCGAACUGUAACUUUUUUGCCUUUUCAGACACUGUUACUAAUUCAUCUCUUAGUUGGAGUAUCAUAUUGCUCUUCUCAUUUAUGGCUUCAUCGAUGUCAUUCAUCUCUUGCCAAAUCUUGUUUGUCAAUACUUUAGUUCUAUCGUCCAUAUUGAACGUUUCUUGAUAGGAAGUCUUCUAUACUGUGGUUCUGAAGGUAAUUUGUUGAAUAUUAAUCCUGAUAUCUAGGUAUUAUCUGUCCUUACAACAAAUGACUUGGGUAAUAAAAAUGCAGAAAACUUUUGUAUUCCUUUUACUACCGCUAGUAAUUCUUUCUCGUUGGUGAAGUAAUUAAUUUCAGCCUCAUUAAAUGUUUCACUUGUAUAUCUACAGAUUUCAUUUAGAUCUGUUUGUAGUAUUGCUCCCCAAUGAUAAUCUGAAGCAUCUGUUUGUAGAACUAAAUUAUCAUCUGGUUCUGGUAGCCUGAGCUUUGGUAGCUUAGCACGUUCUUCUUUUAAUUUUUAGACACAAAGAGUAUGUUCGUUGGUCCAUCCUAGUCGAUUUGAUUUUCUAAUGAGUUUUUGCAAAGGAUUUCUCUUCUUUGCAAGGUCAGGAAUAAAUUCUCUUGCAUAGUUGAGACAACCAAGAAACCUUUGUAUUUCUUGUUUUGUUGUAAGCUUGUUAGGAAAUUCGAUUAUUUUCUUUGAAAUAUGAUUUUGUAGCGCUAUUCCAUUUUUUGAAAUUAUCAUUCCUAAGAAUUCUAUUUCAUUUUUAUUUAUUUCAGCCUUUUUUUGGCUCAAAAUAAUCCCAUUUUUAACAUAGAGUUUUGAAAAUUCUUUCAAAUGUGUUAAGUGUUCCUGGUAGUUUUCUGAACAUACCAAAAAUCGUCUAUGUAGACUACUAAAAAAAAAUUUCAGAAGAAUUUUUAUCCAUCUUUCUUUGAAAAAUCUGUGGUGCAUUUAUUAAUUCAAAGGGCAUUACCAUCCAUUCAUAAUGUCCGUUAGGAGUGCUAAAUGCUGUUAGGGGAAUUGAUUCUUCUGAAAGCUUAAUUUGCCAAAAACCGCUUUUACAGUCAAAUUUUGAAAAGUAGUUUUUUCCUUUAGUAAGGUUAAUUAAAUUAUUUUUAUUUAGAAUAAAAUAUCCAUCAAAAACACAAUUUUUAUUUAACUCUUUGUAGUUAAUUACCAUUCUAGGUUUUCCUCUUUUGAGUUCCGCAUGAUUCCUUACCAUAAAGGCGGGACUGCUAUGUGGACUCUUACUUCCUCUUAUUAAUUUAAGAUUAAAUAAUUCUUGUAUUUGAAUUUUAAAUUCAGUUUUAUCUUCUUCAUUGUACAACAUUGGUUUAACUUUUAUUAUGAUACUAGGAUCUUUUAAAGUUAAAACUGCUUUUUCAUGACUAUUAUUCCAUUUUUCUAGUGGAUUUUCUCCGUAAGAUAUUUGUAAAUCUUGUUUUAUCUUUUCUAAAUCAAGGCAUUUACAAGAGUAAUUUUUUGGAUUGUCCAAAAAUCUUUGUUAAAAAAUUUCUUGCUCUUUUAUUAGAACAUAAGGAUUAUGUUUUCUUGGAAUUUUUAUAAAAUAAUUACAUGGUGUUUUAAAACUAACCAUGUAUAUAGUUUGAUGAUUGUCCUGAAACUGUUGAAUAAAAUCAUUUCCUAAUAAUAAGUCGAUUUCAAGCUUGUCAUAAGAAUAAACAUGUUUUAUAGGAACUAUCUUAGAUCCUAAAAUUAUUUCUACAUUUUUCUUUUCAUGUGUGAAUUUUUCUUUAUCACCUGUUAUACCUACAAGAUAGGUGUUUGAAUUAGAUAUAUCCCAAUCUUUUAUUAAAAAUGAUUUGGCUAGACUAGUUUCUGAGCCAUUAUCUAUUUGACAACAUGAAGUUAUUUUUGUUUCGUAGGUUGUAAAUUCUACGAAUAUUGCUACUGUGAAUGAAGUUUCUUUAGGCAUUAAUUUUAGGUAUAAAACAAGUUUUAUCGCCUAAGGUUAUUUGAAUUCCUUCCUUUUGGAUACUAUAUUGAUCCAAACUAUCGAGGAAUAAUCCUCCCAAGAUUAUAUUAUAAUCAUUUUCAUGUUCGCUGAUAUAACAAGGAACUCUUGUUUUUAUUGUUCCUAAUUGAAUUGGUAAUUCAACCAUUUUUGAACAGUCAUAACUAUUUCCUUUCAAAUGUUUUAUAAAUAUAAGGUUUAUCUUUAUAGCUAAUUAAUCCGUCUAAGAUACUUUUCUUGACGUGAUUUGCUGAUGAUCCUGAUUGUAUCAGAAUUGUUUGUUUGUUCCAGUCACUUCCAUUAAAGAAUCUUCCUGAAACUUCAGUAAUACUGUUAGUAUUAUUAAUGGUAAAUCUUGUAGAGUUACCUUUUCUUAUUGAGUUUUUCCCAUAAUUUAUUGAGAGUCUUGGAUUCGAAGUAGAGGAACUUCCUAUUUCUAUUGUUUUUCCUACCUGGAAUUCCUAUUCAAUAGGAAUGUUUGGUUGUUGAAUUUCUGCUUCAACUAUCCUUGCUAUUCCUGCACAUUCUUGAUCAAUUUCGAUAAGACUUUUGUUUUUAUAAACAUUUCCAUAGUUUGAGUUAGUAAUCGUGUAUAGACCCUGAUAAUAGAUGCUCAUCAUAUGAUUAUCUGGUUUAAACAGAUCAUUUCUUUUUACUUGAAAAUGCAAACUUUAUGCUUCAUUAAAAUUUGCAUCUUUUAAGGAUAUGCAAUACCUGGGGUGAUAGGUGAAUAACAAUUUGGUGUAUGCCGAACUUCCUUCAACUAUGCCUAGAUUUCCUUCCCUUGUAUAUUAAAAUCUUUCGUCUGAGAGAUUUAUUAUUAUGGGACAAUCUAUACCUUCUUUAAAGGUAGAUUUAUUUAACCAUGAUCUGGAUUCCUCCAAGAUAAACAUAGUUCAUCUUUUUUCUAUUUCUUUGUGGAAUUUUUCCUAAGAUUUGGUCUAUCAUAGGCUUAGUUAAAAGGUUAAGCUUAUGUCUCCCAGUCGUUUGAGUGACCUCUAUCACCUUUUCAACCUCCUGAUAUUCACGAUAAGAGAUUUUAUUUCUUAAAAAGGCUCUUUGGAGUCUACUAAAUAUACUAUCUUCUGUUCGAAGAUUAAAUUUUAAUCCUUGAAUUUUUCUUAACAAUUCUCCAUCAAAUGUGGCUUUUAAUGCGUGUCCUCGCUGAUCUUCUUCAGAUUCUAUAACCUGAGUUGUUUCUUCUAAAUUCUCAAUUUCUUGUUUCAUUUUUCUGAAUCAGUACUUGAUUCGGAGAAUUCUUCAUAAAGUUCUGUAUAAAAUUCUUCACUUUUAAUAGACGAGAUUGACUCUAGGCCUGAUUCUAUUUCUUCUCUAUCUAUUUUAGAGAUUUUUACUCUCUUCUUAUUACAUUCAUAACUUUUGUGGCCUUCUUCUCCACAAUUAUAGCAUUUACAUCUAUCUGUAGAAUUCCUUUUAAAAUUUCUACGUUUUUUGUAAUACCUUUUUCUUGGUAUGAAAUUCUUUUUAGAAAUGUUUUUUCUCUUAAUUAAUCCUUUAGUUUUCCUGUGUCUUCUUUUUCUUUUUAACGAAUUUUUCUCAUGACAUCCCCAUUGAGAUGCUACUUCUGUAUCUUCACAGUAGACCUGAGUACCUAUCCUAUUGGCUUUUCUCUGCAUAUUAUGCAACAUACAUAGUUGACUAAGUCUUUGAUUAAGAAAAGUAAUCCUUUUUCCUAAAGAAUCAUCAGUUUGAUCUUCUUUAGCAUAUUCUGUUCUAAAAUAACUAGCUCAAUAUCCUGGCAGUUUUUGAAAAUAUUUAUCCAUAAAUGGAGUUAAAUUUUUAAUACUAUUGAAUAGCUGGUAGUAGUAUGUUUCAAAUUCACAAGUACAUUCUUGAAUAUACUUCAUUUUACAAAUUUGAAGUUUUUCUAGCCAUUAUGCUGCUAGUAAUCCUUGUAUUUCUUUCCCUUUGGAAAUGUCUGACUGGCUUCCUAAGAAUUUAGCUCCUACAUAUUUUACUAGAUGGUUUAUACCUUCUCUAGUUGAUUUUUCAAAAUUUGCGAUAACUGCUAGUCUAAACACGACUUCAGUUUCUUUAGAUACUCUUCUAAACCAAUUAUCUACCUUUCCUGUAAAGGUAUUUGUGGCGAUUAAAUAUUUUUCUUCACUAGUGUAAUUACUUUCUUUUCCUAGAAUAAAAAAUAAUUCUAGGUUUUUUGCUCAUAAAUCUAGAAAUUCUCCAGGCUCUCUUUUACAGUCCAAAUCAAGGAACUGAGCUGCUCCAGCAUCUCUCACUGAUAGCCUAUUAGGCAUAAAUUUAGCCUUGGAAUUUAUAUGGUAUUGACUAUUAAAGUCUUUCCAUUUCUUAGAUUUUGGUAAGAAACUGCUUCUUGGAAUAUGUUCUUCGUUAAAUAAGCUUUCUUCCUUAGGGGCCUUAAAGGUUCCCUGUGGUCCUCCUGUGUCCCCUUUAUUCAUGUUUACUCGAUAGUUUUGAUCAUUUAGAUCAAGUUCUUCUAAAGCAUAGACUAGUUCGUCUAGUUCAUUCAUUUUCUUCCUUUCCAACUAGGUCUUCUAUUUCUGUUUUGGAAGUAGAUGCUUCUUCUUUAUCAUUAUUAUUAGAAAUUUCUUCUAAUUUUUCUAAAUCUUCUUUUUGUUUUAUUUCUAAAAAGCUAGAUAUAAUUUUUUCAUCUAAACUACCUUAUUGAUAGUUUCCUUUAUUUGAGAUUCUAGGGGAAAGAAUAUCAUUUCUUAUUCUUUUCCCUAAUUCUUUAUUGAAAAUAUCAGUUCUUUCAAUAAUUUUACCCAUAUUAGCUGGUGAAUUAAUCUUAAGGGUUUUUAUCUCUUCUUCUAUUAAAUUUACCUUAAGAGUUAUAUGCCUUGUAUAGCUAAAAGAUCAUCUAAGUUAUUUAAGACUUUGUCUAUAAAUUCUUUGUUAUACAUUUUUAAACAGAUAAUUAUUUAAUUUGAAUUCUAGAUGCCAAAUUUCUUGUUCUAAAAGGAAAAUAGUUUUCUUUUGAUGAAAUAAUGACUGUUUGAAAACUCCUGCAAAUUGAUUGUAUGCAUAUCUUUCUUUUCAGAUGUUAAGUUCUUGUUUUAAUUCUGGUAAUAUUUUUAAAGUUUGUUCUUUGUUCAUAAUGGUUAGGUGAAUGUUAGAAAUCAAUACUUCCAACAGUCAGACGACUGUUUAAACCUGAUUUUGAUCAUAAUUAGGUGGUAUAUUCUUCAUUCUUCUAGAUUUUAAAUGAAUUAUUAAUUUUACCUCUAAAACUAGAGAUCAAAGUAAUUAAAUAAUCCAAUCUUUGGGGAUCUUCUUUUGUUUCAUUCAAUUGUUUGUAUUCUAAAUAUUUACUAUUUAGAGUAUUCUUGAUCCUUUUAAAGAUCUCUCUAUUUUUAAAAGACCUUCUCAUUAAAGGCUCUGAUACCAAUAAAAGGGUAAUAAAAUGGUGCUGUUCGCAAACAGGGUAAAUGUAAGGAAUAAUUUGACAAAAAUUAAUCAGUAUGAUAGCCAUCAUCAUAUUCAUAGGGCUAAUAAUCAUUAUCAUCAGAAUAUGGCCAAUAUUCAUCUUCAUCUGAAUCUAUAUGAGAAUAAUCAUGGAUAGACCAUUGUUCUUAGACAAGUGGUUCUAUAAUCUUAUCAAGGAUUUUCUCCUAAAGAUCCUUGUUUAAAUUUAUCACUUUUGAAAUAGUGAUUAAAGUUUUUUCAUCUAAAAAACAAGUAUAGUAACUCAUUAUGUUGUAUAGAGAGUCAUUCAUUUUAAUUUAUUUUUAUACUUUUGUAAUCUAGAUAUCUGUAUUGAUUUUAGAUUAUGAUUUUCAUUUAGAGAGGCAUUUAUGCGUACUCUAAUCCUGUUAAUUUCAGAAUUAUUUAAAUAAUUUUUUAAUCUAUAUAACCUAUUAAAAUAAUUUUUUAAACUUUUUAUAUUAUGAUUGUAAAACCUGAUUUUUAUUUUGGUUUCCCAAAACCAAUUUCGAUAUUCCUUUAAUACUGGUUGUACAACCUUCAUAUUAAAAAGUAUACACUAUUCAUGAUUUUAAAAUUUCCUAUAGGUACUACGUAAUACAAUAUGUAUGAAUGCAUAAAGUAGAUAUGAAAACUAAUUUUUCCUAUGCUAAUAAGUUCACUAGACUAUAGAGUAUAUUCAUGUACCUUUCGUCUUUCCUUUACGUUGGUCGUUUCAACACCUCAGUGAUUCUCCUUCCAGCUAUGAAGAACUUCUUUAGCCUUUUUGUUCCUUUUGGUUACUGUUCCGUUCCUCCUCCGUUUAGACCGAUGAUCGCAACCAUCAUUUUUACCAACUUAAAAGAUUGACAAGGUAUAUAAAAAAAAACUUUUAUUCCAUGAACUUAUUACAACAUAAGAAAAAUCUUUAAUCAGAUCUUUCUUUAUACUUACAUACACACUAUUAUUACUUUUCCCUGGCGGAAGAAAGUGC